GCCGGGCGUGGUGGUGCACGCCUGUAUUCCCAUCUACUUGGGAGGCUGAGGCAGGAGAAUUGCUUGAACCUGGGAGGCAGAGGUUGCAGUGAGCCAAGAUUGUGCCACUGCACUGCAGCCUGGGCAACAGAGUGAGACCCUGUCUCAA
rfam:Pan troglodytes isolate Yerkes chimp pedigree #C0471 (Clint) chromosome 2A, whole genome shotgun sequence.